CCUACGGGCGGCAGCAGUGAGGAAUAUUGGUCAAUGGUCGGGAGACUGAACCAGCCAAGCCGCGUGAGGGAAGAAGGUUCUGUGUAUUGUAAACUUCUUUUGUAAAGGGAUAAAGGUGGGGACGUGUCCCCAGAUGAGUGUACUUUAAGAAAAAGGAUCGGCUAACUCCGUGCCAGCAGCCGCGGUAAUACGGAGGAUGCGAGCGUUAUCCGGAUUUAUUGGGUUUAAAGGGUGCGGAGGCGGGUUGUUAAGUUAGCGGUGAAAGGUCGGGGCUCAACCCCGGAACUGCCUUUGAUACUGGCAGUCUAGAGUUGGGGUGAGGUAGGCGGAAUGCGUGGUGUAGCGGUGAAAUGCAUAGAUAUCGCGCAGAACUCCGAUUGCGAAGGCAGCAUACC
rnacentral:rRNA from 1 species